UGGUCAUCGGGGUGGCCGUCUAUCUGGCGUUCACGGUGCUGGGGCGGUUCGAGCUGGUCGCGGUCGCGGUGUUCCUGGCGCUGGUGGCCACC
rnacentral:tRNA from 1 species